UACAGAGGUCUCAAGCGUUGUUCGGAUUCAUUGGGCGUAAAGGGUGCGUAGGCGGCGCGGUAAGUCGGGUGUGAAAUCUCGGGGCUUAACUCCGAAACUGCAUUCGAUACUGCCGUGCUUGAGGACUGGAGAGGAGACUGGAAUUUACGGUGUAGCGGUGAAAUGCGCAGAUAUCAGGAGGAACACCGGUGGCGAAGGCGGCUUGCUGGGCCAGUUCUGACGCUGAGGAGCGAAAGCGUGGGGGAGCGAACAGG
rnacentral:rRNA from 1 species